UGGGGAAUAUUGGACAAUGGGCGCAAGCCUGAUCCAGCCAUGCCGCGUGAGUGAUGAAGGCCCUAGGGUUGUAAAGCUCUUUCGCCAGGGGACGAUAAUGACGGUACCUGGAUAAGAAGCCCCGGCUAACUUCGUG
rnacentral:rRNA from 1 species